AUUGAACGCUGGCGGCAUGCUUUACACAUGCAAGUCGAACGGUAACAGGCCGCAAGGUGCUGACGAGUGGCGAACGGGUGAGUAAUGCAUCGGAACGUGCCCAGUCGUGGGGGAUAACUGCUCGAAAGAGCAGCUAAUACCGCAUACGAUCUAUGGAUGAAAGCGGGGGACCGUAAGGCCUCGCGCGAUUGGAGCGGCCGAUGUCAGAUUAGGUAGGUGGUGGGGUAAAGGCUCACCAAGCCAACGAUCUGUAGCUGGUCUGAGAGGACGACCAGCCACACUGGGACUGAGACACGGCCCAGACUCCUACGGGAGGCAGCAGUGGGGAAUUUUGGACAAUGGGGGCAACCCUGAUCCAGCAAUGCCGCGUGCAGGAAGAAGGCCUUCGGGUUGUAAACUGCUUUUGUACGGAACGAAACGGUCUGGGUUAAUACCCUGGGCUAAUGACGGUACCGUAAGAAUAAGCACCGGCUAACUACGUGCCAGCCGCCGCAGUAACAC
rnacentral:rRNA from 1 species